rnacentral:rRNA from 1 species
GGCGCACGGGUGAGUAACACGUAAGUAAUCUACCUUCGAGUGGGGAAUAACUCAGGGAAACUUGAGCUAAUACCGCAUAAUGCAGCGGCAUCUUAGGAUGACAGUUGUUAAAGAUUUAUCGCUUGAAGAGGAGCUUGCGGCAGAUUAGCUAGUUGGUAAGGUAACGGCUUACCAAGGCUACGAUCUGUAUCCGACCUGAGAGGGUGGUCGGACACACUGACACUGAAUAACGGGUCAGACUCCUACGGGAGGCAGCAGUCGGGAAUUUUGGGCAAUGGGCGAAAGCCUGACCCAGCAACGCCGCGUGAAGGAUGAAGUUUUUCGGAAUGUAAACUUCGUAAGAAUAGGAAGAAUAAAUGACGGUACUAUUUGUAAGGUCCGGCUAACUACGUGCCAGCAGCCGCGGUAAUACGUAGGGACCAAGCGUUGUUCGGAUUUACUGGGCGUAAAGGGCGCGUAGGCGGCAAUUCAAGUCAGUUGUGAAAUCUCCGAGCUUAACUCGGAACGGUCAAC